rnacentral:tRNA from 2 species
GGACGUUUAGCUCAGCUGGUAGAGCGUCCGCUUGACGUGCGGAAGGUCAGCGGUUCGAACCCGUUAACGUCCA